AUGCCUAGGAAGGAGCGCGACGCCGAGGGCAGCCGGAGCUCGUCGCGGCGGCGGCGGCGGCGGUCGCCGUCCGACUCGGACUCCGACUCCGACUCCGACUCCGGCGGCUCGCCCCGCCGGGGCCGGAGCCGCCACCGCCGCAGGAGCCGCCGCAAGGCCGCCCCGUCCUCCUCCUCCUCCUCCAGCGGCGCGAGUGAUUCGCAGGCGUCCGGCUCCGGCUCCGACUCCGGGGACCGCCGGAGGAGGCGGAGCGGGAGCGCCAAGCGCGGGGGCGUCACCGAGGAGCAGAUCCUGGAGUACAUGUCCAAGAAGGCGCAGAAGAAGGCCGAGAAGGUGGCCAAGAAGAUGAAGGCCAACGCGGUGUCGGGCUACUCCAACGAUUCCAACCCUUUUGGCGAUCCCAACCUCACAGAGAACUUUGUUUGGCGAAAGAAGAUUGAUCGCGCUGUAACUGAAGGGCAGAAGGUGGACAUUUCUGUCAAAGCUGAAAAGAAAAAGCAGAGGGAAAGAAUGGCUGAAAUAGAGAAGGUUAAGAAAAGAAGGGAGGAAAGAGCAAUUGAAAAAGCACAGCAUGAGGAGGAAAUGGCAUUGUUAGCCAGAGAAAGAGCACGUGCUGAGUUUCAAGAUUGGGAGAAGAAAGAGGAAGAGUUUCAUUUUGAUCAAAGCAAAUUUAGGUCUGAGAUCAGGUUACGGGAGGGACGUACAAAGCCUAUAGAUGUUCUCCUGAAGAAUCUUAACUUUGCAGACGAAUUUGAUGUUGAGUUAAAUGAGCCCUACUUGGUGUUCAAGGGAUUAACAGUGAAGGAGAUGGAAGAGUUACGUGAUGACAUUAAGAUGCAUCUCGAUCUGGACAGGGAAAGCCAAGUAAAUGUCAAGUACUGGGAGGCACUCAUGAUAGUGUGUGAUUGGGAGCUAGGUGAGGCUCGGAAAAGAGAUGCCGUGGACCGGGCUAGGGUGCGCGGUGAGGAACCACCCCGUGAGGUUGAAGAGAGAGGCUUGCAUGCAAGUAUUGAGGGGGAUGUAAAAGAUCUCUUGGAGGGCAAAACUUCCACAGAGCUAGAAGAGAUGCAAAAUCAAAUUGAGUCCCAGAUGCGCUCUGGAACUGCAAAAGUUGUUGAGUACUGGGAGGCCAUUCUGAAACGCCUUCAUAUAUACAAAGCAAAGGCUUGCCUGAGGGAAAUCCAUGCUUCUCUCUUACGGAAGCAUCUGCAUCGUCUAGAGAAUGCUGGCGCUCCUGAACAGGCUGUAGAAGCUGAUGAAGAAUUAGACACUAAAGAGGAGGAUGUGAUGCAUGACGAGGAAGAAGAUGAUAAACGAUAUUCACCAGAACCUAUAGAACAUAUAGCUGAAGCAACAGAGAGCCAUUUGAAUGAGGAAGAUGGCUCCUUCUCGCCUGAGCUAAUGCAUGGCAAUGAAGAUGAAGAUGCAAUUGAUCCUGACGAGGACAAGGCAGAACUGGAUCGGCAACGUGAAGCUGUAGUUACCGAGCAUCAGAGGAAAGUUAAGGAGGUCAUGACAGCUAAGGCAAAAAAACCAGAUGAGUUGGAGCUGAAGGCAAUGAAAGCGAUGGGAGCAAUGGAGGAAGGGGACGCUGUAUUUGGUUCAGGUGCUGAAGUGAACCUGGAUUCACAGGUGUACUGGUGGCAUGACAAGUACCGACCAAGGAAACCGAAGUACUUCAAUCGUGUGCAUACUGGAUAUGAGUGGAACAAAUACAAUCAAACUCAUUAUGAUCACGACAACCCGCCCCCUAAAAUUGUCCAGGGCUACAAGUUCAACAUAUUUUACCCUGAUCUUGUGGAUAAAUCAAAAGCACCAAUAUACACUAUAGAGAAAGAUGGAAGCGCUGGGGAGACAUGCCAUAUAAGGUUUCAUGCUGGCCCUCCAUACGAGGAUAUUUCUUUCCGCAUCGUGAACAAGGAGUGGGAGUACUCACACAAGAAGGGCUUCAAGUGCACGUUUGAGCGUGGGAUUCUUCAUCUGUAUUUCAACUUCAAGCGAUACCGCUACAGGCGAUAG
rnacentral:rRNA from 1 species